UCUUGUCAGGUUCAAGAGCAAUAUCUGGAAUGUUGGCAUCCACCAUGAGGGAAAAUAAAUUCAAGAUCAAGUUGGAAUACCUAAGCAGAAGAGCAAAUUAGGCAACAUCUUCAGCAAACAUGCCAGUGCCACGAGGUUUACAGGUGGGGAAUUGACAGCCCAAACUCAUCUAAGAGGAGAGAUUUUGCUGAAUCACCUGAGUUAGAAGCCUGACUUGUAAAAAAACAAACAUCUUUGUCAAGCAAAGUCCAUCACUCAUCUUUGACAUCUACAUUACAAAGGCCUCUAGAAUGGCUGACAUCCAUCCACAGCCAGAACAACAUCUGAGCCAGGUUUUCCUAGUUUUAAGGAGGUUUAAGGAAGUAUUAAACUGAAACCUAAAUCCUUCUCACAUUAUUCUUUGCUUUCUUCAAACUCAGUACAAAUUAACUUACAAAAUCAAUGAGGAUUCAACUGCACUGAAGGUUGAGUAACUUCUGCUUGAACAUGAAUUACCGUUAAAAAAAUUCAACAAGAAAAUUCUACUUCUUCAUAGACAAGGUCUCAUAUAUCAAGAAAUGAGCUGACAUCAGACAAAAGGUCAAAUUCUCAUUACUAUGUUUUCUGAGAACAGCAACUUUUGUUUCAAGUAGUUAAUAGCUCAAACAUCUGCUUGAUCCUAAGCAUUCCUUUAUUUAUGUUUUCAAUAUUUACCAGACCCUUUGCAUAUAGAUGUCCUAAACAAUCAAAUAUUUAGGAUGUAGACUUUGCAAUACUCUACCAAAUAUGAAGCUUCAAACAUCCACAAUAAAGACAUGGACAGGAAGGUAUACAGUUAUCUGCAGUCCCAAAUUAAGAUCCUGCUGACCUGGUCUAAGUCAAAAUUCCCAAGUUUAAAAUGCCUUGAGGAUACUACCUUUCUUUCAAUGGAACAUAGGACUCCCCAUGACAAAAUUAUCUUCUCAAGAGCAUGAAUACUCCCUAAUCAUUGUCAUGUCACAGUUAGCUAUAAUAAAUUAUGGCAUUUAUUGUUCCCAAAGUAUUUCCUUGAAGUCCAAACUCAGUGAAUAUGGAACUGAUCCUACCCAGCUUCAUUUCUGCUCCUCUCUCUUCAUCAUCUAAUCCCAGCUUUUAGAACACUAUCCAGAUACUGCACUACAAUGUUUCCAAAGGAGCAGCACUUCCCGAGGGCCAUCACAGCUUUCCACUUACUGCACAGUGUUUCCAUUCAGAUCUGGACAGCACCUCAGUCACUAAACUCAGAACAGACACGGGAAAAACUACUCCAGCCAACUGCACAUCCACACCCAUACAGAGAAAGAAACCUUAGCCCAAACUACAGCUUCAGUCCCUACUCCAACUUACCUUCUACUCCUCUGCCCUUACCU